rnacentral:rRNA from 2 species
GAACUGGUGAGUAACACGUGGGAAACCUGCCCAGAAGCGGGGGAUAACACCUGGAAACAGAUGCUAAUACCGCAUAACAACUUGGACCGCAUGGUCCGAGCUUGAAAGAUGGCUUCGGCUAUCACUUUUGGAUGAGUCCCGCGGCGUAUUAGCUAGAUGGUGGGGUAACGGCUCACCAUGGCAAUGAUACGUAGCCGACCUGAGAGGGUAAUCGGCCACAUUGGGACUGAGACACGGCCCAAACUCCUACGGGAGGCAGCAGUAGGGAAUCUUCCACAAUGGACGAAAGUCUGAUGGAGCAACGCCGCGUGAGUGAAGAAGGGUUUCGGCUCGUAAAACUCUGUUGUUAAAGAGGAACAUAUCUGAGAGUAACUGUUCAGGUAUUGACGGUAUUUAACCAGAAAGCCACGGCUAACUACGUGCCAGCAGCCGCGGUAAUACGUAGGUGGCAAGCGUUGUCCGGAUUUAUUGGGCGUAAAGUGAGCGCAGUGCGGUUUUUUAAGUCUGACGUGAAAGCCUUCAGCUCAACCGAAGUAAGUCCAUCGGAAACUGGGAAACUUGAGUGCAGAAGAGGACAGUGGAACUCCAUGUGUAGCGGUGAAAUGCGUAGAUAUAUGUGAUGAGAACACCAGUGGCGAAGGCGGCUGUCUGGUCUGUAACUGACGCUGAGGCUCGAAAGUAUGGGUAGCACAUCAGGAUUAGAUACCCUGGUAGUCCAUACACUAAACGAUGAAUGCUAAGUGUUGGAGGGUUUCCGCCCUUCAGUGCUGCAGCUAACGCAUUAAGCAUUCCAGCCUGGGGAGUACGGACGCAAGGCUGAAACUCAAAGGAAUUGACGGGGGCCCGCACAAGCGGUGGAGCAUGUGGUUUAAUUCGAAGCUACGCGAAGAACCUUAUCAGGUCUUGACAUACUAUGCAAAUCUAAGAGAUUAGACGUUCCCUUCGUGGACAUGGAUACAGGUGGUGCAUGGUUGUCGUCAGCUCGUGUCGUGAGAUGUUGGGUUAAGUCCCGCAACGAGCGCAACCCUUAUUAUCAGUUGCCAGCAUUAAGUUGGGCACUCUGGUGAGACUGCCGGUGACAAACCGGAAGAAGGUGGGGAUGACGUCAAAUCAUCAUGCCCCUUAUGACCUGGGCUACACACGUGCUACAAUGGAUGGUACAACGAGUUGCGAACUCGCGAGAGUAAGCUAAUCUCUUAAAGCCAUUCUCAGUUCGGAUUGUAGGCUGCAACUCGCCUACAUGAAGUCGGAAUCGCUAGUAAUCGCGGAUCAGCAUGCCGCGGUGAAUACGUUCCCGGGCCUUGUACACACCGCCCGUCACACCAUGAGAGUUUGUAACACCCAAAGUCGGUGG